GUCUCAGUAGCAUAGUGGUAUAGUGCACAGCCCCGACUAGGUUGAAACGCGGGUUCGAUUCCCGCCUGAGAAG
rnacentral:tRNA from 1 species